rnacentral:rRNA from 1 species
UACGUAGGGGGCAAGCGUUAUCCGGAUUUACUGGGUGUAAAGGGAGCGUAGACGGCUCUGCAAGCCAGAUGUGAAAGCCCGGGGCUCAACCUCGGGACUGCAUUUGGAACUGUAUGGCUGGAGUGUCGGAGAGGCAGGCGGAAUUCCUAGUGUAGCGGUGAAAUGCGUAGAUAUUAGGAGGAACACCAGUGGCGAAGGCGGCCUGCUGGACGAUGACUGACGUUGAGGCUCGAAAGCGUGGGGAGCAAACAGG